rnacentral:rRNA from 1 species
AUUGAACGCUGGCGGCAGGCCUAACACAUGCAAGUCGAACGAGUGGCGGACGGGUGAGUAAUGUCUGGGAAACUGCCCGAUGGAGGGGGAUAACUACUGGAAACGGUAGCUAAUACCGCAUACCAUCGGAUGUGCCCAGAUGGGAUUAGCUUGUAGGUGAGGUAACGGCUCACCUAGGCGCCGAUCCCUAGCUGGUCUGAGAGGAUGACCAGCCCCUCGGGAACUGAGACACGGUCCAGACUCCUCCGGGAGGCAGCAUUGGGGAAUAUUGCACAGUGGGCGCGAGCCUGAUGCAGCCAUGCCGCGUGUAUGAAGAAGGCCUUCGGGUUUUAAAGUACUUUCAGCGGGGAGGCGUUACCCGCAUAAGAAGCACCGGCUAACUCCGUGCCAGCAGCCGCGGUAAUAC